ACUCCUACGGGAGGCAGCAGUGGGGAAUAUUGCACAAUGGGCGCAAGCCUGAUGCAGCCAUGCCGCGUGUGUGAAGAAGGGCCUUCGGGGUUGAUAAAGCACUUUUCAGUCGUGAGGAAGGUAGUGUAGUUAAUAGCUGUUAUUAUUUGACGUUAGCGACAGAAGAAGCACCGGCUAACUCCGUGCCAGCAGCCGCGGUAAUACGGAGGGUGCGAGCGUUAAUCGGAAUUAACUGGGCGUAAAAGCGCAUGC
rnacentral:rRNA from 1 species